UCACACAACACUGGCUCACACAGCUGGGCCAGUCUCCUUCGCAAGAGGAAGCCGCUGUGUUGGGGACUUGGACGGCAAUCCUAUUCCCAGAAGAGGGGUCUUGUCCUAGACCCCAAGAGUGUGUUCUUGGAUCUCUCGUGGGAAAGAAUUCAGGGUGGGCUGGACCUGGUGACUUGCUUCUACCUGAUAGAAUACAGCAAGAGUGAUGAGAUGUCACUUCCGAGAUUAGGUUGGACGGAUGGUGACUUCCAGCUUGUUAGUCUUCUCUCGGGCUCUUCUUGUUUGCUUGCUCUGGUGAAGCCAGCCACCAUAUGGGUUCCUGGCAUAGAGUUUCUAAAACCACUGGAAUUUCCUAAGUAAAAGGGGUGAGAGAAGUGUCUUUUGUUACUCAUAAUAAGCCCCCUUCAACCAUACUUGAGUUUAUUCUAAUGAGGUGACUCAUGGAGGUUGGGGGCUGGUAGCCAGAGGAACCAACCACGUGAUUGAGGGUUGCAACUUUCAGCCUCACCCCCAACCUCCAGGGAGGAGAGAGGGGCCAGAGAUUGAGUUCAAUCACCCAUGGCCAAUGAUUCAGCCAAGCAUGACUAUGUGAUGGAACCUCCAUAAAAACAUUGGGUCUCAUGAGAACAACAGAAUACAGAGAGCUGGUUUGGUGGACAUAUGGAGGCUCUGGGAGGGUGGUGGGCCCAGAGAGGGCAUGGAGCCCCUCUCCCAUACCUCGAUUAUACAUCUCUUCGAUUUGGCUUUUCCUGAGUUGUAUCCAUUAUAAUAAACUGGUAAUGGUAUGUAGAUUGUUUUCCUGAGUUCUAUGAGCCAUUCUAGCAAAUUAUUUAACUUGAGGAGGAGAUUGUGGGAACCUUCAAUGUAUAGCUGGUCUGUCAUUAGUGCAGGAGGCCCUGGACUUUCAACUGACAUCUGAAGUGGAGGCAGUCUUGUGGGAUCCCUUAACAUGUGGGAUCUGCAUUAACUCCAGGAAGAUAGUGUCAGAAUUAAAUGGAAUUGUAGAACACUCACUUGGCGUCCAGAGAGUUGGUUGGUGUGUGGGAAAAAAUAUCCCACACACUUGGUGUCAGAGAUGUGAGUAAAGACAGGUCAGAGACCUUGCGAUGAUUGCAGCCCUGGCUGACACCUUGAUUACAAGCUCUUGGGAGACCCAGAGUCUGAGGCACUCAGCCAAGCUGCAUUCAGAUUCCUGCCUAAGAAAAACUAGGAGAUAAUCAGCAUUGUUUUAAACCACUAGGUUUUGGGGUUGUUAUAUGGCCAUAGAUAACUAAUACACAUAUUUAUUUUAACAUCUCUUAGAAAAAUAGAACUAACACAUCAAAUUGAGUUUUAGUGUUUUAUUACUUGCAAUGAAACUAAGUAGAGAAAAUGAAUCAAUGUAAAUCAAUUUGAAGAGAACCGUAAGAUAAACAGAGGUACAGAUGGGUGUGGGAUGGCAAACAGCAAGGGGUAGAAGGACAAUGACUGAAGUUUGGUAAGCACUGAGCUAAUUGAGCUGACCGUGAUUCCAAAGCCAUAGUAUGCGUGCUCAGUGUUAGGAAUAAUGAAGGGUUACCUCUGUCUGGGUGCAGGAGUCUACAGGGUGCAGCAAGUGCCUCCACCCCCAAUGGUAAGUUGUGCCCUGCUGAGGGGGCUGCAUAUCAAAAUCAUCUGGGUUCCCGCUGCCUGCCUCCCAUAGCUCCCUCCCGUCCCUAGCUGCUUCUUGCCUUACCCCCAGCCUCAGUGCAGGCAGCACACCCAUCAGGGAAGGAAUGACUUUGUGACCUGUUUGCUGUAGCCCUGUGUCCAGUGG